rnacentral:rRNA from 1 species
AUUGAACGCUGGCGGCAGGCCUAACACAUGCAAGUCGAGCGGAUGAAGGGAGCUUGCUCCUGGAUUCAGCGGCGGACGGGUGAGUAAUGCCUAGGAAUCUGCCUGGUAGUGGGGGAUAACGUCCGGAAACGGGCGCUAAUACCGCAUACGUCCUGAGGGAGAAAGUGGGGGAUCUUCGGACCUCACGCUAUCAGAUGAGCCUAGGUCGGAUUAGCUAGUUGGUGGGGUAAAGGCCUACCAAGGCGACGAUCCGUAACUGGUCUGAGAGGAUGAUCAGUCACACUGGAACUGAGACACGGUCCAGACUCCUACGGGAGGCGGCAGUGGGGAAUAUUGGACAAUGGGCGAAAGCCUGAUCCAGCCAUGCCGCGUGUGUGAAGAAGGUCUUCGGAUUGUAAAGCACUUUAAGCUGGGAGGAAGGGCAGUAAGUUAAUACCUUGCUGUUUUGACGUUACCAACAGAAUAAGCACCGGCUAACUUCGUG